AGAAAAAGCUCAAGAAGAAUGCAUUGCAGAUGACAUCACGUACAGUUAUGUUAAAAAAUCCAAACAGACAACCAAACAUAACAGAGAGUCUGAUACAGAUGCAGUUUAUUCAACAUUGAAAAUUGAAGAUGUCAUCAAAGACAAGAAAAACAGAUCAAAGACGAGAGAGACUGACACAGCUGUAGUCUAUUCGGCAGUGAGAACUGAGGACAUCGAUUAUGGACAAAUAGCUGUUACACCAAAAAGGAAAAGAGACUUUAAACCUGAGCCAGACGUCAUCUACUCUUUACUGAAGUAGUCCACCAGUCCAACCACUGACAUCCAGCUGCUGGUCUCUAACUGGUCCCACAGCACCUCAGACCAGAGGACAUCCACAUGUUCAAAAUAUUUUUAUAUGUUUGACAUCUUUUUCUUGUUCAUUUAGACACAUAUGAUUUAAAAAUCAAUUCUUGAAUUUCAACUUGAGUUUAAGCGUGUAUUUUCAUGCAAAUCAUGUUUUAUGUUCU